rnacentral:rRNA from 1 species
CCCUUAGAUGUCCGGGGCUGCACGCGCGCUACACUGAAGGAAUCAGCGUGCUAAAACCAUUGUCGAAAGGCAUUGGUAAACCCAUUAAAAUCCUACGUGAUUGGGAUCGGGAAUUGCAAUUAUUUCCCUUGAACGAGGAAUUCCCAGUAAGUGUGGGUCAUAAGCUCGCGUUGAUUACGUCCCUGCCCUUUGUACACACCGCCCGUCGCUGCCCGGGACUGAGCCGUUUCGAGAAAAGCGGGGACUGCUGCUGUCGGGGCUUUCGGGCCUUGGCUUCGGUGGGAACCGCUUUAAUCGCAGUGGCUUGAACCGGGCAAAANUCGUANCA